UGGGGAAUUUUGGACAAUGGGCGAAAGCCUGAUCCAGCAAUGCCGCGUGCAGGAUGAAGGCCUUCGGGUUGUAAACUGCUUUUGUACGGAACGAAAAAGCUUCUCCUAAUACGAGAGGCCCAUGACGGUACCGUAAGAAUAAGCACCGGCUAACUACGUGCCAGCAGCCGCGGUAAU
rnacentral:rRNA from 1 species